rnacentral:rRNA from 1 species
UACGUAGGGUGCAAGCGUUGUCCGGAAUUAUUGGGCGUAAAGAGCUCGUAGGCGGUUUGUCGCGUCGGCUGUGAAAUCCCGAGGCUCAACCUCGGGCCUGCAGUCGAUACGGGCAAACUAGAGUGUGGUAGGGGAGACUGGAAUUCCUGGUGUAGCGGUGAAAUGCGCAGAUAUCAGGAGGAACACCGGCGGCGAAGGCGGGUCUCUGGGCCGUAACUGACGCUGAGGAGCGAAAGCGUGGGGAGCGAACCGG